GGAGUUGUGACUCAGUGGUAGAGUGCUUGUCUAGCAUGUAUGAUACACUGGGUUCAAGUCUCAGCACCA
rnacentral:tRNA from 1 species